GUGUCAGCAGCCGCGGUAAUACGGAGGAUCCAAGCGUUAUCCGGAAUCAUUGGGUUUAAAGGGUCCGUAGGCGGUCAGAUAAGUCAGUGGUGAAAGCCCAUCGCUCAACGGUGGAACGGCCAUUGAUACUGUCUGACUUGAAUUAUUAGGAAGUAACUAGAAUAUGUAGUGUAGCGGUGAAAUGCUUAGAGAUUACAUGGAAUACCAAUUGCGAAGGCAGGUUACUACUAAUGGAUUGACGCUGAUGGACGAAAGCGUGGGUAGCGAACAGGAUUAGAAACCCGUGUAGUCC
rnacentral:rRNA from 1 species